rnacentral:rRNA from 1 species
CCUACGGGUGGCAGCAGUGGGGAAUAUUGGACAAUGGGGGGAACCCUGAUCCAGCGACGCCGCGUGAGUGAAGAAGUAUUUCGGUAUGUAAAGCUCUAUCAGUAGGGUAGAAAGGAAUGACGGUACUUGACUAAGAAGCCCCGGCUAACUACGUGCCAGCAGCCGCGGUAAUACGUAGGGGGCAAGCGUUAUCCGGAUUUACUGGGGGUAAGGGGAGCGUAGACGGUUACGCAAGUCUGGAGUGAAAGGCGGGGGCCCAACCCCCGGACUGCUUUGGAAACUGUAUAACUGGAGUGCAGGAGAGGUAAGUGGAAUUCGUAGUGUAGCGGUGAAAUGCGUAGAUAUUAGGAGGAACACCAGUGGCGAAGGCGGCUUACUGGACUGUAACUGACGUUGAGGCUCGAAAGCGUGGGGAGCAAACAGGAUUAGAUACCCGGGUAGUC